CAGACCCCAACAAGUGGCGCAGCGAGCAGGGUCAGCAGGGGGAGUCGCCUGGGAGGACGUGGAAAUUAAGGUUUUCACCAAUGACAUUACUUGGAUGCCGUCCCCCUAUAUGGACAAAGACAACAUAAAACGGAAAACAGGAAUUAUAAUCAGCACAUAUCAAUUUGGAGUGGAAGGACUUCCAAUAUGUAUGGGAAAUAGUCCUCAUUGUCUCCGAAAAUCGCAUGAAGCCUGGGCUGUUCACUAUAAUCAUAGUCAUGUGGCUGCGAAAACUGUUAUUAUUGUAACUAAAAGCUUUUAAUAUAAUCAUACUGUAUAUAGUAAUGAAACUAUUCAUAGUUCUUUACUUUUUUGUCCUAUUCUAGAGGUUUCUCCUAAUAUUGAGGUGCUGGAGUGACAACAAUGUCGGGGAACUAAACCCCGGAUUUUUUAAAAUACAAUAAAAUGUAAAUAACUGA